GACGAACGCUGGCGGCGUGCCUAAUACAUGCAAGUCGAGCGAGCUUGCCUAGAUGAAUUUGGUGCUUGCACCAGAUGAAACUAGAUACAAGCGAGCGGCGGACGGGUGAGUAACACGUGGGUAACCUGCCCAAGAGACUGGGAUAACACCUGGAAACAGAUGCUAAUACCGGAUAACAACACUAGACGCAUGUCUAGAGUUUAAAAGAUGGUUCUGCUAUCACUCUUGGAUGGACCUGCGGUGCAUUAGCUAGUUGGUAAGGUAACGGCUUACCAAGGCAAUGAUGCAUAGCCGAGUUGAGAGACUGAUCGGCCACAUUGGGACUGAGACACGGCCCAAACUCCUACGGGAGGCAGCAGUAGGGAAUCUUCCACAAUGGACGCAAGUCUGAUGGAGCAACGCCGCGUGAGUGAAGAAGGGUUUCGGCUCGUAAAGCUCUGUUGGUAGUGAAGAAAGAUAGAGGUAGUAACUGGCCUUUAUUUGACGGUAAUCAACCAGAAAGUCACGGCUAACUACGUGCCAGCAGCCGCGGUAAUACGUAGGUGGCAAGCGUUGUCCGGAUUUAUUGGGCGUAAAGCGAGCGCAGGCGGAAGAAUAAGUCUGAUGUGAAAGCCCUCGGCUUAACCGAGGAACUGCAUCGGAAACUGUUUUUCUUGAGUGCAGAAGAGGAGAGUGGAACUCCAUGUGUAGCGGUGGAAUGCGUAGAUAUAUGGAAGAACACCAGUGGCGAAGGCGGCUCUCUGGUCUGCAACUGACGCUGAGGCUCGAAAGCAUGGGUAGCGAACAGG
rnacentral:rRNA from 1 species